AUUCAAUCAAAUUUCAUGGGUUUAACAGCAACAUUUUCAUCAUUCACAAAUUUCAAUCAAAUUUCAUGGGUUUAACAACAAUAUCUUCAUCGUUCACACAAUUCAAUCAAAUUUCAUGGGUUUAACAUCAACAUUUUCAUCAUUCCCACAAUUCAAUCAAAUUGAAUGGGUUUAACAGCAACAUUUACUUCAUUUACACAAUUAAAUAAAUUUUAUGGCUUUAACAACAACAUUUUCAUCAAUCCCACAAUUUUAUCAAAUUUCAUGAGUUUAGCAACAACAUAUUCAUUAUUCACACAAUUCAAUAAAAUUUCAUCGUUUUAAUAGCAAUAUUUUCAUCAUUCACACAAUUCAAUCAAAUUUCUUGGGUUUAAAAACAACAAUUUCAUCAUUUUCACAAUUCAAUCAACUUUCAUGGGUUUAACAACAACAUUUUCAUCAUUGACACAAUUCAAUCAAAUUUCACAGGUUUAGUAGCAACAUUUUCAUAAUUUACACGAUUCAAUCAAAUUACAUGGGUUUAACAACAACAUUUUCAUCAUUCCCACCAUUCAAUAAAAUUUCAUGGGUUCAACAGCAAAAUUUUCAUCAUUCCCACAACUCAAUGGAAUUUCAUGGGUUUAACAACAACAUUUUCAUCAUUCCCAAACUUUUAUCAAAUUUCAUGGGUUUAACAACAACAUUUUCAUCAUUCCCACAAAUCAAUCAAUUUUCACGGGUUUAAUAGCAGCGUUUUCAUCAUUCACUCAAUUCAUUCAAAUUUUAAUGGUUUUAAGAGCAACAAUUUCAUCAUUCCCACAAUUCAAUCAAUUUUC
rnacentral:lncRNA from 1 species